UAGUGAGGCUGAUCUGGCUGGUUUCUCCUGUAGUGGCAGAGGUGCAAAGCCCUCACAGUAUCAGUAGAGUUGGGCAAAACAGGAGCCCUGAGACAGCCCCAGUCCCCCUCUCAUGGUGGCAGCAGAGGGGCUGUAGGGCUGCACUGACCAAUUUACAGGUUUCUUGCCUCAUUAUCUGGGCAGAACAGGGACUGCUGGUUCAUCUCAGUUGGGUUUUGACCACAGCACUGCAGCCUCCUGGGGCCCAGCACUUCACAAUGCUGCUUCUCACUGGGCUGAGUUCUCAUGCUGCCUGGCUGGAGGAGGAGUUGUCAGGUGUGGUGUCAAUGCACAGAGUAACCUUGAAAACAGGCUUCAUUUUCCUCAGAUAAAUAGAAAGCAGUCAAACAAACAAACAACUACAGCGGCAAAACUUUCCAGCACAACACCAGCACAUAAAGAAACACACCGGCCUUACAGGAAAUCCCAAGGUGAUCUAUAGAAGCUGUCCUCAAUAGGCCAGCCAGCAAAGGAGCUGAAAUAUGAUGUUUUUAUCCCUGCUUUUUCUCAACUCCAUAGCUGCCCAUGAGCACCAAACUUCUUUUUUUAGGGUAAUUUUCAAAUUGACCUGAACUUAGCAGUGAAUGAGUAGAAGGCAAACAAGCACUGCAUAUUCAUGGGCAAACCCUUGACUGUUUGCCCACACAACCAGACCCAUACUGAGUGUUACGAAAAAGAAGAAAACAAAAGAAGCUGUAACUUAGAAAGCAAAGGAAGAAAACAAAUCCUUAUCCAGCUAACAUCUCUUCUACUAUGUCACUCAAGGUGGAUGUUGUUACAGUUUAUUAGAGGAAGACUCUGGAGAUAUAUCAUCCAGAGGACACAUUUAUUCAUUUCAGAAAUUCGUUCUUUGCCCUUCCAAAAAACCCACAUAUCUAGCAUCCAUGUUACAGCCACUUCUGUGAGGAGGUGAGGAAAACUGAAGUUGUAUUUAAGCAUAUUUAAGACAGGCCUCCUGCUGCCCUUCUGGUAUACUUAAUAGCAGAGAUGUGGACAGGCAGCCCUUUGGCCUCUGGACUUCCCCAUCCACAAGCUGACGGAUGUGCGUGAGCAGCACCCACCCACUGGAGCAAUGCCAGCCACAGGCAGAACAUGCCUUGGAGCAACCACUCAUCUUGUGCACAUGGCAAUAACACCUGCCUCUCACCCUUGGAGAUGUGGGCCAAUGUUACAUGAAAGCCUGCCAAGUAUGCCAUAGGGAAGCACUGGAAUUCUUCUGCUCCAUACAUGAGAGCUAUUGCAGGGUAAAUUUUCUAUUGUAUCUGUAGCAGAAAUGCUAAGUCAUGGCUUGAAACAGUGAUUGAGCACGUGGUGGGAAGGCAGGGCCAGCCCAGGGGAGCUCAGGUGCAUGGAAUGCACCUGAAUGACUGGAAGGAGUGGAGCCAGGAUCCACCCCUGCCCAGAUCUCAUUUAAGGGUUGGCAGUGGAAGCAACAAUAUCUUGCUGGAGAUCCCCCUGUGCCUGGGGCCUUCUGAAGGAUGUCUGUGUGCCUGACAGCGAGCUGCUCUGUGGCAUGGAGGUCUAAUGUCCUCAAUGGCUGCUGUUGGGUGUCAGCAUCUUCGCUCUCCUGCGAGCACUGGACACAGUCACCAUCACUACCCGGAAAAGCACAAAGGUGUUCACCUGUCAGAAAAGAGCCAGCAGACCCCUUAAUGUUCAGUGAUCUGAACUCCAGUGCGGAGAAGCCCCUCAACCAGCAUCCAUGAGAAGGCUGCCAUGAACAAGAGAUGAAGGAAGGCGGUGACCGUGAAACACAGCACCUGGAGAGAAGAGAAAUCACAUGCUCCUUCAGGAAGCAGAGUCCUCUGGAAAAUUCUGAGAAUGAGCAGCCAGGAAAAAAACAGCAACCCACACAUUGCUGUUCAACAAUUGCUUAAAUUUUCUGAAGGCUUUUUUGGUAAGAAACAAGAGUGGAAAUAAAAGGUUGUGAAUCUGGCAACCUGGACAAGAACAAGGCACCUGAGGCUGAAGUUCCAGAAGGCACAGAUGGGCCCCACCAGCUUAUCAGGCAGGUCCUGCAAGAGAGAUGGAAAAGAUGAGGUUGCACAGCCACAUGCAUCAUGCAGACUAGCGGCAGUCACUCGCUGGGCUGCAAUGUAGCAGAGCAAGGGCUGUCAGCACGAGACAACACCUCCCAGGGGAAACAGAGGGCAAGGAAUUUCAAUGAAGUCAGGCCUGUCCUCCUCAGGGCUCUGGAUCAGGUAUGCCUCACUGCUCAGCUGCUGACUGCUCAGCUCCAGCUUCCUGACCUCCAUCCCUGUAGCAGAGGCAAAAUCAGGUACUGAAAC